CUAGUGCAUCUCUUUGGAGGCCGACAUCUGAGUUAGAAUGCAUUGAAGAUGCCGUUGGUACGACAAUAGCUUGGCCAUCAGACAAAGUUGUUAUGCUUUAAAAAGCUGCAGUACUAGUACUCAAUUUCUGAAGAUGAUGAGUC